UACGCAGGGGGCAAGCGUUGUCCGGAUUCACUGGGUGUAAAGGGUGCGCAGGCGGGCUCUUAAGUCAAGGGUGAAAUCUCUCGGCUUAACCGAGAAAUUGCCUUUGAUACUGAGAGCCUUGAGUACGGGAGAGGGAGAUGGAAUUCCAGGUGUAGCGGUGAAAUGCGUAGAUAUCUGGAGGAACACCGGAGGCGAAGGCGGUCUCCUGGCCCGUUACUGACGCUCAGGCACGAAAGCGUGGGGAGCUAACAGG
rnacentral:rRNA from 1 species